GUGGGGAAUAUUGCACAAUGGGCGAAAGCCUGAUGCAGCGACGCCGCGUGAGGGAUGACGGCCUUCGGGUUGUAAACCUCUUUCAGCAGGGACGAAGCGCAAGUGACGGUACCUGCAGAAGAAGCACCGGCUAACUACGUGCCAGCAGCCGCGGUAAUACGUAGGGUGCAAGCGUUGUCCGGAAUUACUGGGCGUAAAGAGUUCGUAGGCGGUUUGUCGCGUCGUUUGUGAAAACCAGCAGCUCAACUGCUGGCUUGCAGGCGAUACGGGCAGACUUGAGUACUGCAGGGGAGACUGGAAUUCCUGGUGUAGCGGUGAAAUGCGCAGAUAUCAGGAGGAACACCGGUGGCGAAGGCGGGUCUCUGGGCAGUAACUGACGCUGAGGAACGAAAGCGUGGGUAGCGAACAGGAUUAGAAACCCUAGUAGUCCU
rnacentral:rRNA from 1 species